rnacentral:lncRNA from 1 species
CAUAGUGGGUCGGUAGUAGCUCUAUCGAAGAAUCUUAUAAGACAGGGAUUUAUCCCCCAAGUGACUACCGUAGAUUCUUUCAUGAACUUUUUAUAGCACAUAAUCGAUCUUGGACGGGUGCAAGCACUUUAGAAGAGGCAGAGAAAAUGAUUGCUUAUACAACUUGUUAUCAUAUAGAACAUAGCGGGCGGCCGACCUUAAAUACUUGAGUAGAGGAUCAAUCCAGCUAAGUUUCUCAUCAACUUAC